UAAAAUUAUGAGAGAGUGGCCACACCCAUGUGGAAGCUCCAUGGUUCCUUCUCUCUAUUGAAAGCCAUACUUUACAAGUCCCAACUACUUUUGAUACUCACCACCAAGAGGCAACAACAAUUUGUACUCCCUUUAUCUUUCUUUGUGCACACAACUGAGUAAUAAACAUGAAAAGGUUGGAGGGAAAAGUGAUUGGGGCUCUUUGCUGUAAAUUAUAAUGAGGUAUGAGUUGGGUGUUUGGAGAGUGAGAAAAGGAAAGAGAGAGAUUGGGAAAAAGAUUCAGUCAUCAUUUAUUUGUUGUGGGGGCAUCUUAUAAGAAAAAAAGAAAAAAAAAAGACAAGUGAGAAAGCGAAAAUGCAAGAGCAAGAACCUUGCCUCCCUAUAUCCUAUGCAAAUCCCCAUACCUUUUGUAGUUUCCUCACCAUAAAAAAAACAAACCCAUACCCUCUUUUUGCAUAUUGAGGCAUUAUAGUAUCAUAAACCAUCAUCAUAAUGACAAUUAUUUUACAGGGAGUGAACAAAAGCCCCACGUAUAUAAUAAGCUGGUGGGACAUGAGCACCAAUGACCCCUAAUUAUGUGCUUGAAGAUGAGAGAAAAAUUAUAUUAAAAAAAUAUUGCCAAAG
rnacentral:lncRNA from 1 species